GGAUCGAUGAUGACUCCCUACAAAUGCAUUCCUUGGAAAUCUGAACAAAAUGAGUGACAAUCCCUACCGUCGU